rnacentral:rRNA from 1 species
UGUCUCAGUGCAAGCCAAAUUAAGGUGAAACCGCGAAUGGCUCAUUAAAUCAGUUAUGGUUCCUUAGAUCGUACCACUUUACUUGGAUAACUGUGGUAAUUCUAGAGCUAAUACAUGCAAACAGAGUCCCGACCAGAAGUGGAAGGGACGCUUUUAUUAGAUCAAAAUCAAUCGGUCGGCUCGUCCGGUCCGUUUGCCUUGGUGACUCUGAAUAACUUUGGGCUGAUCGCACGGUCCUCGUACCGGCGACGCAUCUUUCAAAUGUCUGCCUUAUCAACUGUCGAUGGUAGGUUCUGCGCCUACCAUGGUUGUAACGGGUAACGGGGAAUCAGGGUUCGAUUCCGGAGAGGGAGCCUGAGAAACGGCUACCACAUCCAAGGAAGGCAGCAGGCGCGCAAAUUACCCACUCCCGGCACGGGGAGGUAGUGACGAAAAAUAACGAUACGGGACUCAUCCGAGGCCCCGUAAUCGGAAUGAGUACACUUUAAAUCCUUUAACGAGUAUCCAUUGGAGGGCAAGUCUGGUGCCAGCAGCCGCGGUAAUUCCAGCUCCAAUAGCGUAUAUUAAAGU